AGCGAACGCUGGCGGCAGGCCUAACACAUGCAAGUCGAACGAACCCUUCGGGGUUAGUGGCGGACGGGUGAGUAACACGUGGGAACGUGCCUUUAGGUUCGGAAUAACUCAGGGAAACUUGUGCUAAUACCGAAUGUGCCCUUCGGGGGAAAGAUUUAUCGCCUUUAGAGUGGCCCGCGUCUGAUUAGCUAGUUGGUGAGGUAAUGGCUCACCAAGGCUACGAUCAGUAGCUGGUUGGAGAGGAUGACCAGCCACAUUGGGACUGAUACACGGCCCAAACUCCUACGGGAGGCAGCAGUGGGGAAUCUUGCGCAAUGGGCGAAAGCCUGACGCAGCCAUGCCGCGUGGAUGAUGAAGGUCUUAGGAUUGUAAAAUCCUUUCACCGGUGAAGAUAAUGACUGUAGCCGGAGAAGAAGCCCCGGCUAACUUCGUGCCAGCAGCCGCCGUAAUAC
rnacentral:rRNA from 1 species